UACGGAGGGUGCAAACGUUGCUCGGAAUCAUUGGGCGUAAAGCGCACGUAGGCGGCCUGUUAAGUUGGGUGUGAAAGCCCUCGGCUCAACCGAGGAAGUGCACUCAAUACUGGCGGGCUUGAGUAUGGAAGAGGGUCGCGGAAUUCCUGGUGUAGCGGUGAAAUGCGCAGAUAUCAGGAGGAACACCGAUGGCGAAGGCAGGUCUCUGGGCCACUACUGACGCUGAGAAGCGAAAGCAUGGGGAGCGAACAGG
rnacentral:rRNA from 1 species